ACUGUAUUAUUAUAAACGAGUCUGGAAUAUCUCUCUACCUGUUAGUAUAUUUAAAUACAAUGAUAUUGUGAAGUAUGUUAAUAGGUGUCUAUGAAUAUUGUACACAUUUUGUUGACUGUUUUUUUUAAUUUCAC
rnacentral:pre_miRNA from 1 species